rnacentral:misc_RNA from 1 species
GAUGAAGAACGUAGCGAAAUGCGAUACUUGGUGUGAAUUGCAGAAUCCCGUGAACCAUCGAGUCUUUGAACGCAAGUUGCGCCUCAAGCCAUUAGGUUGAGGGCACGUCUGCCUGGGCGUCACAUAUCGUUGCCUGAUGCCAGUUUACUCGUGAUGGGUGACUGUGCAGGGCGAAUGAUGGCUUCCCGUGAGCAUUGUUGCCUCAUGGUUGGUUGAAAAUUGAGUCCUUGGUAGGGAGCGCCGUGAUAGAUGGUGGUUGAGUGACGAACGAGACCCAAUCAUGUGAGACCCCUACCGAAUUUGGCCUUCAUGACCCACAUGCGUCUUUGGAACGCUCAUGACGAGACCUCAGGUCAGGCGGGGCUACCCGCUGAGUUUAAGCAUAUCAAUAAGCGGAGGA